AGCAGGUAAAUUCCUUUUUGAUUGGAAUUCAAUAAAGUGUGAACUAGACGGGAAGGACAGCGACUUAGCCAAAGAUUUCCGGAAAGGAAUGGAUAAUAGAGAGAGCGCACUACGCAAAAAUUCGUUGUUUCUUGCAGCAGUUUACGUGGAUAUUAGGCAUGGCUGUAUGCUGACAGCGACUGAAGACAAGAUAGCUGCAGCUGAUGGACUUUGGAAAAUUAAUUACAAACUGAUUCAACUGGCUAAUAAAAAUAAGAAUGAUGAACUGAACAAAACCAAAAA